CAUUUUAAAAGGAUUUCACUACUGUUUUAAGUUCCACGGAAGUUAAAUCCCAACUUGAGUAUUAAAAAAUUGUUUUUUGCCCUCAAAUCCCUAAAUCGUUCAAUCGAUCUUCUUGACUUCUUCUACGUACGCGCAGCAAACCACAAACACAAUAUGUUCAAAUCCCUAAAUCCCUAAAUCGUGAUCUUCUUCUUCUCUUUGAAAUCCCAAAUCCCUAAAUCGUGUUCUUCUUCUUCUCUUUACCCCAAAUCGUGUUCUUCUUCUACUCUUUGAAACCCCAAAUCGUGUUUUUCUUCUUGGAUAUGUUCUUCAUUCUUCGUUCUUCUUGAAACCGGCCAACCUAUUCGUUCUUCCUCAAAUCGUGUUCUCAUUCUUCAUUUUCGUUUUCUGGAAACCGGCCAACCCCAAAUCGUGUUCUCAGGAAAGCAAUGUUGAGGGAGGUAAGCAGAAACAUGUUGAAGAUGAUCUCGUGGAUCUUAAAUCGGGAUAGAAAUGUUUUGAAAGAGGCAAGCGGCUGAAAUCGGAAUGGAAACGUGUUGAAAGAGUGAAUUUGGAUACUGGUUCCAGGAGGUGCUUUUAUGCAGGUCUAUUUCCACUAAAUUAGAUACUACUUUGAAUUUGGAGCACUUGUAUAUGAAGAACUUUCCUACAAGCUUAAAGGUAAAUAUAAGAUUCCAAAGCUCUUUCAUUUGGCUUUCCUACAAGCUUAAAAGUAAAGACAAGUAUUUAGUAAUUUAUUAUUGGCUCAAAUUACCUUAAUAGAAAUGGAAACUGAACUUAGAGAGUCAAUAUAUUUGUUAUAAAUAAAAUCAAUUUUUCAUGAAUAGUCAAGCUUAAGAAGGUUCCAUUCUCAGCUCAAUCAAUCUUUCAUCUUAUAUCACUAACACAUAUUUUGCCAUGUUUUACCAAUUUUGGAAUUAAAGCUAUUUUGUUGUAUAUCAAUACUUGAGCUUUCUAGCUGAAAUGAAGCAUAACUAUUUCCUGACUUCAUCAUGAGUAAUUUGAUGUACUUUUUCUUUAAACUGUUGAGUUUAAUCAUAAUACAUCUCCAAUAUAUUGUUACUAUGUAAGUUAAUUAUAUGGAAGAUAGUACAUGAACUUGUUCUACGAAAUGAGAUAUUAAGACCAACAGAAGAGAUGUAGUACUGAUACAAAUUGAGUAUAUCACAAUACACAAUCAGAUGUCUAUACUAGACAUGAAGGUUACUUUCGUUUUCUCGAUGUUUGAGGGUCUGUUAAGUUUUCUCUUUAUAAGAAAGAUCUUUGGAUGAGUUAGUGGAUAUAAAUUUGUGUAUUCAAUUGUGUUCUAGACAGCCAAAUAUUACUUCUAGAUGCUAUGAUUGGUGGAAGAAAUCACAAUCAAGUGAGGAAGGAGAAAUCACAAUCUCAUGGCCUAACACCUUGUUUUACUUCCAUAUGUUUGAGAGACAUCAAUGGAAAGGUUAUGAUCUUGAAAACAGGAUUCAGAAGUUUGAAAAAGUGUCUAAUAAAAGGUUAAAGAAGCAAGAUUUGGCUCAAAAGGUUGAAAUUGUUCGAGGCAAUGCCAAGACAUCUUACUCCUAGGUUUGUAACAACGGAAAAACUACAAUACUUUUUGCUGCUAUAUUCUUAAUUUUGUGCAAUAGUGUACAACUAUUUUCACUAUGUAUGAUGAUCUAUUUUGUCCUGUGAUAGUCCUUUCAAUAUGUAUAUCUUGGAAAUAUCAAUGUGAAAUCAGGUGUGUAUAUCACUAUCUUUUGAUCAGAAAGGGUGACGUUUAGGAUGCACAAAUGGUAAAAUUUGUGUACCAUACAUAGAAACAACACUAACCAUUGAUUUAUGAAUUGAAAUUUCAAUGGCAAUGGUUUAGCAGGGUAACAUGUAAAAAGCAGCAUGUGAUUCUUUAUACAUUUAUGUGUGCUAAGGUGAUGGUUAGAGACAAAUGAUUGUAUUAGCUUUGACAUUUUUUAAUAGUUUUUGACUUAUGUUGUUAAUACGUUUUGACUUUUAUGGUAGAUUUGAUGUGAUGUUAUUUGUGAUUUUAGAAUGACUUAUGUUGGAAUUCCCUCUGCUGCCCCAUUUUCUCGUGGAGAAUUUUACCAAAGUUGUGAUAGUGAGGAUGAAGAGAAUGAUGAUGACGAUGAUGCCGAGAAGAAUAGCAAGUCUGAUGCCAAAAAAGAAGGGUUGGUUUUCAUCUAUGUUUCAGAGGAUCUGUUGAGCAGUUGCGGACACAUACACGUAGACUCGAGGUGUAUAUUGAUUUUAAUGCUUAAAGAUUAUUAGAUAUAUUAAUAGUUAAUAAUAAUCAGUUACUGGGAGUUGUUGUAGCAAGAGUUUAUUGAUUCUAUGAGGGUGUACUAUAUACUAAAUGACUUGUAUUAUUGAUUAUCUCAGUUUCUAGGCUUUUGCAGUUAAGAGAUAGUAUUGAAAACAAACCUUGCAUUUAUUUUAUGUAAAUUGCAAUAUAGGAAAAUCCACUUUGUUGAAUGCUUUUGUCUAUAUUUAAUUUAAAUAUUGUUAAUAUAAAUGUAUGAUUUUGGAGUGAUUCAACAUCACUAUAGCUAGCUUCCUGUUGUUUUCAUUGGUGGUAAAUUAGUUGGUUCUAUGGAUAGAGUUUUGGCUUUUCAUAUUAAUGGGCUGUCUACUUGGAAUUAGACUUGGAAUUAAUUAGUGAUAAUGUUAAGCAUUGACUUCUAAUGUGUUGAAUGUAACUUUGUUAGCUUGUUAGGAAUUGACAAUGACUUGUGGAAAAUAAUAUUCGGAAUUAUGUCAAUUUUCUUGUGCGUUA